AUUGAACGCUGGCGGCAGGCCUAACACAUGCAAGUCGAGCGAGCGGCGGACGGGUGAGUAAUGUAUGGGGACUGCCCGAUAGAGGGGGGUAACUACUGGAAACGGUAGCUAAUACCGCAUACUAUCGGAUAACCCAUAUGGGAUUAGCUAGUAGGUGAGGUAAUGGCUCACCUAGGCGACGAUCCCUAGCUGGUCUGCGAGGAUGAUCAGCCACAUUGGGACUGAGACACGGCCCAGACUCCUACGGAGGCGGCAGGGGGGAAUAUUGCCCAAUGAGUGCAAGCCUGCUGCAGACAUGCGGCGUGUAUGAAGCAGGCCCUAGGGUUGUAAAGUACUUUAAGUCGGGAGGCGGUACCGACAGAAGAAGCACCGGCUAACUCCGUGCCAGCAGCCGCGGUAAUAC
rnacentral:rRNA from 1 species